CUUUGUAAACAUUAGGACAUCAUUCCCAGUCCAACAAUGUCAGCCUGACAAUGAGCUGAUCGUGGAAGAGGUGAGUGAAAUAUCCGCAAGCUACAUCCGAGAUCUAUAUAACAAAAGCAUUAUUUUUCUGGAUUAUUAACUCUUACAACAUUUUUGUCUGUUUAAGAGCUGUUUUGUCAUUUGUUUUGUAAUUUGCUCUUGCAUCAUUUUUUUUUUGUGUGUGUGGGUAGGAGGUUUUCAAGUUGCACAAUCGUUGUGAAACUCACUUAAAAUAUUUAUGAAACAUAAAAGAUAAAUCAUAUUUUACCAAAGUAAUACUAAUAUUAAUUAAUAAUAAAAAAAAAAUCCCAACAUUUAAUUCUGACCUACACAUUGACAGGCAGUGAGGUCUGUUUUUGUGUUGACCAACUUUUUUUUUUUUUUGUUAUCUUUUGUUAUCUUAUUGCUGCAUCAAUUUAGUAUAUUCAUUUAAGUGUGUCAAAGCUUUUGGUUAACAGGAACACUGUCAGCACUAAAAAUUCUCAAUAAAGCUGUUUAGGGGAAUGAGUGUCUGGGCUCCAAAACUAUGUAACCCUGAAGUUAGUCCACCAGAGUAGUGACCCCUCUACCUCCUCUCUUCCUUCUCCUGACAGCCACAUUUUCAGUAAGAUUGCUUACACUCAACUAUCACUGGCCAGAAAUAACAUGUACUAUUUCUCCCAAAGUGUGGCCAGUGAUUGGAUGAGUGCAUCAACUAAUGGUUUCAGCCAAUUAGCAGCAUUCUGACUGUCACCAAUGGUUACCAUUGAGAGCAUCCAUUUAUGCUCUUAACCCAUCACAGGCCCUGCAUUGAGAGAAAUAAUAUGUAUUAACCACUGGAAAAUUACAGCGCUCCUGUCCACUGGAACAUUACAGAGCUCCUGUCCUCAUAACAACUUCAUUAAAUUGAUAAUGCAUGCUAUGCGUAAGUCUGAUUCAGUUCCAUCACCAUCUUAAUUGUUUGGAUCAUCCACAUUCCAUUCCUUCUCCAAUAUUUCUGAAUUUCUUGCUGAACUUAUUUAUAACAGCCUUUUAUCAUCAGCUAUCAUGUGUAUGUCUCAAAAUUCUUUCUCAAAUACAUUAUUCAUUCUGUUUAUUACCUAUAUGUAUUUCUUUUUUUAUCGUGCUAUUAUCUUCAAGAUAUCUCAAAAAGCUGUAACUAGCCCCAUGAAUGCUUCACUUUGCUCUGUCAGACACUGCCCCACUUUUUUUACCUAUCUUCACCGAUAACUCUGAGUAUCCAGUACAAGGUGUCAAAGUUCUCACCGUGAGAUCCAGACAUGGUCGCCCCAGAAGUGGCCAACAGAGCAUUUGAACUCUGUAUUCUUUCUGCCUUAGUCCUGCUGUCUUGCCUCUGGACCACACUUUAGUUCUCCAUAUCUUGUCUCCAGCACUGGGGGCAGGACUUUACUCGUGGUUGCUCCUCUCUAUCUAGCCCACCUGAAACAGAUCAUUAAUUAGCUGGGUAUAGAAGCACUGCCUCGCCCUGGGAACUUUGUCAGUUCAUUGACUCUGGUUCCUGUAUUUGUGUUUUUGAUCCAGUGUUCUCCAGACAGCUCUUGACCUUGGUUUUUCUAAUUGUUUAUCCUGGCAUCCUCUGACUUUGGCUUACCCUCAACUAUCCUCCUGCUUUUUUCCUUACCUGUACUGCGACUUGGAGCUAUAUCCUGCAUAGCCCCCGUGCACAGACUCACAGCCCAGGUGGCUUCUUAUUUGGUCACCUUAGUCUGUGUUUAUUUGCAAGAGUGAGCAUAUUAGUCACCCUGGACGUAAGCAAGAUCUCAAAGUAUUCAAAAAAGCAUUGCAAGCUGUAAUGCCUCCCCUGCGAGAACUACUAAAGCAAAGGCUACUGUAGGUGCUGUGUUUCCCAUUAAUCUGGAAGAAGGCCUGGAUGCCUAUGGGAGAACGUACCUUCUGCAAGAGGGUAACUCUGACCUGGAAUGAAAUGGUGAGCAACCAGUUCACACCCAGAGGGUGUUCUUAAAGGGUGGGUUCUGUCACAGUUCUCACUGUGACAUCCAGACGUGGUCGCCUCAAAAGUGGUCAACAGGGGAUUUGAAAUCUGAACUCAUUCUGCCUUAGUCCUGCAGUCUUGCCUCUGUGCCACACUUCAGUUCUUGUUUCUGCCUAAUAUUUAUCCUCGUCUUGUCUCCAGCAUUGGGGGUUGGACUUGACCUGUGGCUGCUCCUGUCUAUCCAGCCCACCUGAAGCAGAUCAAUAAUUAGCUGGGUAUAUAAGCACUGCCUCGUCCUGGCAACUCUGUCAGUUCAUUGACUCUGGUUCUUGAUCCAGUGUUCUCCAGAUGGCUCCUGACCUUGGUUUUUCUCAUUGUUUAUCCUGACCUCUGGCAUCCUCAACUAUUCUCCUGUUUUGUCCGAGCUAUAUCUUGCACAGCCCCCAUGCACAGACUCACAGCCCAGGUGGCUUCUUGCCUGGUCACCUUGGUCUGUGUUUAUUUGCAAGGAUGAGCGUAUUACUCUGCACGUCGGACUCCACAUCAGGUAAGAUCCUGACACAAGGUCGCUAAUAGACAUAAUCACAAAGCAUCUCUAUUUCCACAUGUGAUUGUCUGUCUUUGUGUAACUCUACAUAGUAGUGUGCUAAGUACCUUCCCUUGUUGACAUCUGGAGCUACAGGCUUUCUUUCCUAAUUAUUUAUUUUUGGAGACUUGCAGACCCAAAAGAGAAAUUCUAGUAUGACUUCAUUGAGGACCUGUAUUUUAUACCUGUCUGCUGUCUCACCAAUCCAGGAUGUGAAUUCAGGCCACCCCAAAACAACACUUUUUAUUCCCUUACCUCUUUCUUACUCGAUUGUUUCAUCUUUGUCUACCCCAGUUUUCUCUCCAUUGUCAUACCCUCUUCUCCUUUUUUAUUUCCCUAGUUCUAUCAGCUCCCUUUUCCUUCAUCCUAGUACCCCCAACCUCCACUUCUCAUCUCAUCCUUUGCGUCAUUUCUCAGCUGCCGUUCUCCAUCACUUCAUUCCUUUUAGCACACCUCCUUUUUAUCUCCUGUCCCUCUCAGGCACUCUCCCUCUUCACCACUAUUAUCCUUGUAGCAAUGUAUCCAAUAUUGCAUCACCUUGUAUAAAUGUUCUUUUUCUAGAAUAUAAACUGAUUCCUAGAAUAAAAUAAUCUUCUGUUAUGGCUCCGCACAGUGUCAAAUGCGUUUUCUAAAAAAAGGAGAUGCUAUUUAUUUAAUAAAAUGAGAAUGUGCUCAAUCUGCACGUACAGAUUUAGCAAACAUUGCUUGAUUAUGAAAGCCUCCUGUACGCUGCCAAACUGCACCAGAGCCAUGUUUCUGGACAGUCCCAGCAUGUGAAAGGAGCAUGUCAAUCUCAUUAUUUUUCAAGCUUAUGAACAACAAACUUAAUGUUUGCUUUAACUAUACUUGACCUGAAGAUAAACUGCCGUGAUGUGUUGUUCAGACCUGCCUAUAAAAAUGUAUUACUUUGACACAAAAUUGAAGAAAGAAAUGGAAAGAAAAAUGAAAGGAAAAAAAAUCCCUGUAUGAAUUAUAAACUGAAAUAAGCUACUUUAAAGAAAAAUGUAUGAUAAUACUUCAGUUGUACAAUUAUCCAUCAAAAAAUCUGUAUCAUUGCUCACCAUCCCAAAUAACUCUGAAUACACAUACAUAAUUAAAACACUCAAAAUUAUUUCUACUACAUAUUGUGAGAAACUGGAAAUUACUUUGCCUAUCACAGCUUGACCAGUAAUAAAUAAGAUCUUGAUUUUGAUCAGGAGCCGCUGGUCGUGGUGAAAGUGGACAACUGAAUACAGUACUGAAGGCUCACACUAGCUCAUUAAUUCUAGCUGAUGACCAAGCUAGCAAGGAUUAUUAGUUACCCCAAUGUAUGAACAUUGUUAAAACAGGGGUUUAUAUAGAACAAUUUGAUCUGGCUGAGUUAGGGCAGGCCUUGUGACUAGGGCAGUGGUCUUAAACAGGGAAUCAAUGACCAGAAAUGGUCAAAGGUCUUACCGAUAUCAAACUGGCAUUCUCUAAGUCCUAGACACUGUUCUCUGAGACCUGAUUCAUGAACUAUGAUAGAGGGCAACCUUUACCCGUAGGAACCAGUCAUGACAACUAUGGUUUACUUAGCAGGUUUAGUGUUUUAGGUUUUCCUUCUUUUUCUACAUUCUUAGUGUUCUCUAAAAUAUUUUCAUAGUUUAGUACUGGCAUCUGAACAUACUUGUUAAAAUAAAAUCUUCCCGUUUGCUACAUGGACAAUCUAGAAUUAUUAACUUAUAUUCACCAAUUGGCUAUUUAAAGAGAGUGCAUGUGGCUAAAUUGACAUUUCUUCCAGCCAGUCAUACAGCUUAAUUUUGUUAUUAGAGGAGACAGGGUUUCUUUUCCUUAUUAAAUAGCAAUUUUCCCAGAGAUAUCAAUAGAACAACUGCUAUUUAAUACUAUGAGUUAAAGGGUUACUCCAACUAAAAACCAAUGUUUUAAGAAUUCUGGUCUCCAAGCCAUAGUUACAUAGUUACAUAGCUGAAAAUAGACUUGCGUCCAUUAAGCUCAGCCUUCCUCACAUUCUUUUUUUGCUGUUGAUCCAAAAGAAGGCAAAAAACCCAGUUUGAAGCACAAUUCCUUCUUGACCCCAGAAUGACAGUCAGAUUUCUCCUUGGAUCAAGCAGUUAUUACCCUACAUUGAAAGAUUAUAUCCUUGAAUAUUCUGUUUUUGCAAGUAUACAUCUUGUAGCUAUUUGAACAUCUGUAUGGACUCUGAUAAAACCACUUCUUCAGGCAGAGAAUUCCACAUCCUUAUUGUUCUUACAGUAAAAAAACUUUUCCUUUGCCUUAGACAAAAUCUUCUUUCUUCCAGUCUAAACGCAUGACCUCGUGUCCUAUGUAAAGUCCGGUUUGUGAAUAGAUUUCCACACAAUGGUUUGUAUUGGCCCUGAAUAUAUUUGUAUAAUGUUAUCAUAUCCCCUCUCAGGCGACGUUUUUCUAAACUAAAUAGGUUUAAAUUUGUUAACCUUUCUUCAUAGCUGAUAUGUUCUAUUCCUUUUAUUAAUUUUGUAGCCCGGCUCUGCACUUUUUCUAGUGCCAUAAUAUCCUUCUUUAGAACAGGUGCCCAAAAUUGCACAGCAUAUUCAAUAUGUGGUCUUACCAGUGAUUUAUAAAGAGGUAAAAUUAUAUUCUCAUCCCUGAGAAUGAAUGCCCUUUUUCAUGCAUGACAAUAUCUUACUGGCCUUGGCCACUGCUGAUUGACAUUGCAUAUUGUUGCAUAGUUUGUUGUCUAUAACAAUUCCCAAGUCCUUUUCGUGUGUUGUUAUCCCUAAUUCGCUUCCAUUAAGGGUAUACGUUGCUUGUGUAUUCUUUAUUCCGAAGUGCAUAACUUUGCAUUUUUCAACAUUAAAUUUAAUCUGCCAUUUGAGUGCCCAGUCCCCAGUCUAUCUAAAUCCCUCUGCAGCAAAGUAAUAUCUUGCUCACAUUGUAUUAUUUUACAGAGUUUUGUGUCAUCUGCAAACACUGAAACAUGACUUUCAAUUCUGUCUUCAAGAUCAUUUAUAAACAUGUUAAAUAGAAGGGGUCCCAGGACAGACCCCUGAGGGACACCACUUGCCACCUCUGUCCAGCUUGAAAAUUUACCAUUAAUGACAACUCUUUGUACUCUGUUUUUAAGCCAAUGUUCUGCCCAAGAACAAGCAUUUUCAUCUAGACUGAUUUCCUUGAGUUUGAACACUAAUCUAUUGUGUAGAACUGUAUCAAAUGCCUUGGCAAAAUCCAAAUAGAUCACAUCCACUGCAACACCCUGAUCUAUACUUCUACUUACUUCUUCGUAGAAUGCAAUCAAGUUAGUUUGACAUGACCUGUGAUUCAUAAAACCGUGCUGAUUUUUGCUGAUAACCAUGUUCUUCUCAAGGAAUUCUUGAAUAUUAUCCCUUAAUAACCUUUCAAAUAUUUUACCAGCCACAGAAGUUAAGCUCACAGGUCUAUAAUUUCCAGGCAAGGAUUUUGAACCCUUUUGAAUAUAGGAACCACAUCUGCCUUCCUCCAAUCCUCCGGAACACUUCCUGAAAGAAAAGAAUCUUGAAAGAUUAAAAACAGAGGUUCACUUAUUUCUACACUUAGUUCCUUAAGUACUCGUGGAUGGAUACCGUCAGGCCCUGGAGCUUUGUUUAUAUUAACCAUAAUGUGAAAUAAUUUUAAAAAGCUGUAACUUACCUCUACUCCAGCACUAAGGCCAAGUUAUCACGUCAGUAAAGUUACUCAAUGUGAAUCAAUUACUGCAUUUUAUUUCUUGAUGCUUUAAAAAAUUCCAGAAUUAGGUUACUUCCUCAUUAGGUCACUCAGAAGAACAUUGUAAUGCUUGGACUUCUUGUUCUUAGGAUGUACAUCUGAUUACACAAUGUCACAAUAACAACAUGCCCAACGUGCAAUGUUAGAUCACUCUUUGGUAAGGUAUGAAACAGACAUGGACAUAAGUGUAAUACCGAUCCUUAUAGGCAGGGUUUAACAUCGAGAACAAAAAAGAGUAACCUGAAAAAAAGAUCAAAGUAAAGUUGAAGACCAGUCAAGGUCUAGAAUCACAGCAGGUAACAAUAAUUGUUAAACAAACCACUGUCAAAGAUUACAGCAUGGAGUAUAGUCAAGGACAAGCCAAAGUCAGAUUGCAGGAAUCACAACUGAAUAAGAAUGAGCUUUCGGAUCAUCACAAUGUAAACCAUGAAAGAGCAAGGUAGAGAAUGUUUAAAUAGUCUUUAAAAAACUGUGAUUGGUUAUAUCUACAACGCCAAAUGGUGCCAGAGCAGAAAUUGCACAUGUAGGUGUGCAUCAGAAAUGUAACACUUGAAGUGCACUUGAAGUUUAAACAACCAGCAAUCAAAUUGCUGCCAGAAGAUGCAGGAUGCUAGAAUGCAUAGUAGGACUAUACUCAGAUCUUACAGCUACUGUGACAUGCCACUGGUUUGCUGACUUUUAGAAUUAAUGUUAGUUGAACCAUACCAUUUUUAUCAUUGGUAUAUUGGUAUAGAAAGCAUUAUGAAAGGUAAUUGUUAAGUUUUGUGUAAACCCAUGCUGGAACUUGGAGAAGAAAGACUGAUUGGUUUAGAUGAAGGCAUACAUUAAGAUUCCAUUAAGAUUCCUGUUUUGAACAACGAUAUCUUUUGUGAUCUUUUGAUAUAUAAAGGGACAAUCUAAGCACGCUAACUACUACAAGUUAUAUAAACUUAUCGGAAUUUGUCAGCAUUAAAUUAAACUUUUUGGCAUCAUGGAAUUGACUAUGUUUCCUGUAACACGUGUCAAUUUGGUGGUGCUGUUAAGGUUAAAGGCAAUUUGGCAUAGAUGAAUCCUGCUUACGUGAACUAUUUGGGAUGCAUAAAGAGAAAGGUUAAAUCAUUGCUGAUAAGAAUUUGUGUGAUUAGAAGGAAGUGUGUAAUCUUUGCCUUAGCCACACCAUGAGUGAGGGUUGAGCUUGGGUGUCCAGGGACCCCCAUCCAAUGUUAAAAUGCUUGAAAAUGGUUAAACACUGAAUUGAGAGGUGGAGCCAGAAACCCCAGGUAAUAGAACCAAUUCAAUGAGAUGAAAUACAGUAUAUAGGUAUGAGAGGCUAUAAUGUACAGUAAUGUGUAGCAUUGGCAAUAUAACCACAACUAUUGAUAGUAGUGUUUGGAAUGGCCUAUUAAAUUUCCGCAUUAAUAAAAUAGUACCUGUUUAUUACUGCUCUCUUUGGACAUGAAUAGUUGCUAGUAACAAGCUUAGUGAAAGUUUAUGUGUAAAUUCACUAGGCUCAUUAAAAUUUCUAAAAUGCAGGAGGCUGGAUCAGUGCAGGUAACAAACUACUUAGCAUCUCUUGGUAUGGAUUUUAAGGAUUCGUAAUACAAGGAUACAUUAUCCUCAUUAUAACUAUAUGGAUGCAUCAAUGUAUUACAAUUAUUUAUAUAGCGUCAAUGUAUUCCACACAACAGGUAAACAAGACAAACAUUUAAUUAAAACAAAACACAUAAGAUAUAUGGGAACAGUAGGUGAAGAGGUGGCUGCCCAAACAAGCUUACAAUCUAGACAGAAGAGGGACAAAUACAUAAAGGGAAGUGAGGAAAAGACAUUAAUUAGAGGGCCUGGCAUCCAGUACUACAACCUAGCUUACUGCACAGGUAGAAAAGACACAGAGGUUGCCAGCCUGAGUAGAGGCAACAGAGAAAGUUAAAGGUCUGUGGUCUCCAUAAUCAUUUCAUCUCUUUGAAUUGGUUAUAGUUCCUGGAGUCCCCAGGCACUGUCCCACCAUUCAGUGUGAAUCCAUUUUAGAGUUGUCUCACACCCACAGUCAGGCCCCUUCUGUAGGUGGGACUAAGGCAGAGAGUAUACACUUCCUUGUUGUCAUACCCUUCAUACUGUCAGUUAGAGCUCUGAUAGGAUAAACGCAGUCAGCUGAUACUCUUAGCCAGUCACAGCUGCCCAUUGCUGCUCAGGCUAAUACUUCCUCAUUAGCCAAAGCAGCAUUUGAUUAAUUUAGGUAGCGUUAAAACAUAAAACCAUUAAACAUUGUUUACUGCUGCAUGAAAUGGCAGUAGCAGGGGACUCCAGACACUAAACCAUUUAAAUGAGAUUAAGUAGACACAGUGCCUUCAGUGGCCCACAGUCAUAUCCUAAAACCCAUAUUAUCACUUAUAUAUUGAUAUUGCUUGAUGACCAUAAAUAUUGAUAUUUUUUCAGAUUUCCAUCAAUUCGUUCCUUAUGUUCUUUUCACAAUGGCCAGAUGAUUUUACAUUUAUGUGUCAGUGUGUUUGUUAAUAUCUGAAUAAACCAAAGCCCGGUCAUUCUUUUACGAUAUGUUAGAACAUCAUGUGGAUUUUGCAAAUUCCUUCUUCUAUGUUUGGGUAGGAGUUUUCUCCAAUAUCUAUCCUUAAACUUACAAUCACCCUCAUUCAUUCUUGUACUUUAUUAUUUUUUCUGAAACAUUUUCAAGGCACGUUCUACUUAGCACCAAGUUAUUCCAGACAAGUAGCAAGAGUAUAAAUCAACAACUAUUCUUAAUUGAAACAUCUUAGUAUGAAAUGCAUUUCACUUCUCAAAUUUAACAGGUGUUUAUAUACCCCCUGCUCUUUUGACAUUUGCCAAUCGGGUAUAUUUAAAGAAAGAAAAAUAUUUAGGUAUGUUGCCUAAUACAAGUUUUUAUUGGCAUCAUAACAUAAAAGCAACAUCAGUGGUUUCAACAACCAAUACUGAAGAUCUAACAAUUUCAUAGGUUUGCACUUUUUUGUGAAAGCUCUCCAAGCUUUAAGCCAAGUUAGAAACCUUUUGGGUAUAAUAUCUAUCCACUUGACUAUCUUCUCAGGAUCUUCAAUGAUCUUCUGCAUCACCUGGUGGCCUUGUCUAACCAAAGUUAUGUCGCGAUUGUUGUAUUCACUAGUAUUGUCACACAGUCAUAAUAUAAUAUCAGAAUGGUUUCUAUCUACGGAAGAUAUGUUGAGAUCAACAUACUUGCAUAUAUACUCAUACAUAUGAUCCAUAACAAGAUGGUAAGUGAUAUUGUGCUGAAAACACAGAAUCUCAAUAGUCCAUACUUUCAGCCAAAUUAUUUAUUAUGUUGGUAUUUAAGAAUGAUACAAGAGAAAUAGUCAGUUUAUGCCAAAAAAAAUGUUGUUACAAAUAUGGCAGGCCUGAUUUAACUUGUUGCAGACCCUUAGUUUACAAAUUGAGAAACUCUGUGGUACCCAAGUGAAGAGGUACUUUGCUCUGAAAACCUUUGAAACCACAGAGUAUUGUGUUGCUUCUGCCUACUUUCACUUAUUUAAGUACUAAAAGAAGACACAUUCUUAAUAGCAACUUCACCCAGACAUUUUCAAAGGAUAACAUAUGAUAUUUCAGUACAAGAGCACAUAACACAACAAACCAAACCUAACUUGAUUGAAGUAGAAUCUCAAUAAUACAAUCAAUUCUAUUAUCUCAUAGUGUCAAUGAUCAAUGCUGGCCAAAAUCAAGACUGAAAUGGAAAAUGCAAAGUAAUCCAAUCCAAUGGAACAUACCUAAACAUCGUUACUAGCACUUGCUCGAUCCACUUUUCCAUCACUGAAACAUAAGGAACCAAGCAAUUUAGGAUACAGACAACAUGUUUACCCUUGAACUUACCUGCUAAACAGGAGGAAAGACUUUGAGAAGUCCUUGUUUAAGAAGUCCUUAUGAGAUGCAUGAAUUUGUAGGUAAUAUAGUAGGGCACAGUAGCUUAUUUACAGCUUCUGAAACAUGAAUUGUGCCUUACACACUACUACUGAAGGUUAUUACUAUAAUGGUGUAAUGAUCAGUUUGCAAGUAUGCACAUUUUGGAUAUUGCCAAACACUUUAAUGUUGUCCAUUCAUCCGGCCUAUUCCGUAGAAAAUUCCAAGAGUGGAAAACUGUUUAUUCAGAGUAUUAUUUCCCAAUAUAACAUGCACAGCUAGUGACUGUUGGGCUUUAUAACCACUUACACAUUUAACCUUUAAAAUAAGUUAUUGUUUUUCUUUACAUUGACAUUAUUAAUAAUACGUUGCUGAUAAGAAGAGGAAAUCAGUUGCCACCUUAGAAUUUUUGCAACAAUUUCUAACCAUCAUUUGCGGGGAGUUUUUAAAUCUUUUUUAACAACAACAACUAAAAUGUGCAAGAAUCAACUGUAUAUUCACAUAUUCUCUUAACCUCAACCAUUUUCUUACUAUAUUCUAUAUUCUGUUCGGUAUAAGUAAACAUGUAAACAUGUAUUGUGUAGUUUUGAAAACAGCAAUGUAACUUUAAAAGUACAUUAAUUGUAGCCUCCGAUGAACUUCAAGCAUUGAAUUCCAUUAUAAUAAAAGCCUAUACAACCUGAAUGAUAACUACUGUGUUGCAUAUAUUUUCCAUUUUUUCUGCUACUCUAUGUUUGUCUGUUUUAAUAAGUACAUGUUUUUAUAUGUAUUUAUAUAU